rnacentral:misc_RNA from 1 species
GAUGAAGAACGUAGCGAAAUGCGAUAAGUAAUGUGAAUUGCAGAAUUCAGUGAAUCAUCGAAUCUUUGAACGCACAUUGCGCCCGCCAGUAUUCUGGCGGGCAUGCCUGUUCGAGCGUCAUUUCAACCCUCAGGCCCCCAGUGCCUGGUGUCGGGGAUCGGCCCAGCCUUCCUGUAAGGCCGCCGGCCCCGAAAUCUAGUGGCGGUCUCGCUGUAGUCCUCCUCUGCGUAGUAGCACAACCUCGCAGUUGGAACGCGGCGGUGGCCAUGCCGUUAAACACCCCACUUCUGAAAGUUGACCUCGGAUCAGGUAGGAAUACCCGCUGAACUUAAGCAUAUCAAUAAGCGGAGGA